UACGCAGGGGGCUAGCGUUGUUCGGAAUUACUGGGCGUAAAGCGCACGUAGGCGGAAUGUUAAGUCAGGGGUGAAAUCCCGGGGCUCAACCCCGGAACUGCCUUUGAUACUGGCAUUCUCGAGUCCGGAAGAGGUGAGUGGAAUUCCGAGUAUAGAGGUGAAAUUCGUAGAUAUUCGGAGGAACACCAGUGGCAAAGGCGGCUCACUGGUCCGGUACUGACGCUGAGGUGCGAAAGCGUGGGGAGCAAACAGG
rnacentral:rRNA from 1 species